rnacentral:rRNA from 1 species
AUUGAACGCUGGCGGCAUGCCUUACACAUGCAAGUCGAACGGCAGCACGGGAGCAAUCCUGGUGGCGAGUGGCGAACGGGUGAGUAAAGUAUCGGAACGUGCCCAGUCGUGGGGGAUAACGUAGCGAAAGUUACGCUAAUACCGCAUACGAUCUAUGGAUGAAAGCGGGGGAUCGCAAGACCUCGCGCGAUUGGAGCGGCCGAUAUCAGAUUAGGUAGUUGGUGGGGUAAAGGCUCACCAAGCCGACGAUCUGUAGCUGGUCUGAGAGGACGACCAGCCACACUGGGACUGAGACACGGCCCAGACUCCUACGGGAGGCAGCAGUGGGGAAUUUCGGACAAUGGGCGCAAGCCUGAUCCAGCAAUGCCGCGUGCAGGAUGAAGGCCUUCGGGUUGUAAACUGCUUUUGUACGGAACGAAACGGCGAGCUCUAAUACAGUUUGCUAAUGACGGUACCGUAAGAAUAAGCACCGGCUAACUACGUGCCAGCCGCCGCGGUAA